rfam:Gossypium raimondii chromosome 3, whole genome shotgun sequence.
AGACCAUGGUGAGGGCAUUUUUUACCAGUGACUUGAAUCACUCUCAAGCUUCAUGAAAGCUUUCUCCUUCCAAUUGUUUAAAUAUAUCAAUCUCCCUCCUUAUUU